rfam:Rattus norvegicus chromosome 5, whole genome shotgun sequence.
GGGGAUUUAGCUCAGUGGUAGAGCGCUUGCCUAGCAAGCACAAGGCCCUGGGUUUGGUCCCUGGGUUCAGUCCCCA